AUGGAACUUUGGGAUUGGUAAUAAA
rnacentral:piRNA from 1 species